AUGCCUGGAGCCAAGCAGAGGAAGGAGGGGGUGGCUUUGGAGCAUCCGUGCCCUGAGAGGAGGAGAGUUCUGGAAGCUGUGCGUUUGGCAUUGCUGGGUAGUGUGGACGGGCAGGCUGGAGCUAGGUAGCUAAGCAGCUUGGUAAACGGAGCUACUGAGGAUUCCAAACAGGAACUCUGCAGUCCUCUCCACCAUUUAUGGAUUGAACCACACGAAAUUGCCAAUAUUCGGCCAUUUGGAGCCAAGACAAAUGUCAGCUUUGUGGGGUGUAGCCUCACAGAAGGCUGCUUGGGGGUCUUUGCAGAUGGUGGAUGAGCAGAGGGCAUACUCUGGAGCCUACUGGGGACCCAGCCCUGAGGCCACCAGGCCAAUGGUGUCCAGACUCUGGUGUGGGCUGGGAGAAAGGGGAGGUUCAGGAAACCCGGAGGUGGUAAAGUGGCAGAGCUGGGGCUGGGGGCGCGGGUGCAGCAGAGGAGGUGCACUGAGGCUGAGGUCCAGGGUUAGGGACAUGUGGACCGUGUGAGUUCAGCCAGGUCUAUGUGCGCCUUGUCUGAGCUACAAUUUCCAAGUUACCUGUGACCGUGGAUAACUCCCAGGUCAGCAACUUGUCAGUUGAUUUCCAAGCUGCUGUUUGACAGACUCUGGCUCUGUAGGGAGCACCUGGUUGUCCAGACCUGGGUGUUCAGCACAGUUCCCUCCAAGAAGUUUAGAGUGACGUUUUCAGAGGGCAGGACCCUAGUAUUUAGGAAGCCUCGGAGAGCCUGA